rnacentral:lncRNA from 1 species
GUGUGGAUGCAGGGUGGGAGAGUGAAUCAGCUGUAGGUGGCGAGUGGCUGGGACUGUUGACCUGUGUGUAGAAGCCUUGGUCAACUAUCUCCUAUAAUAUCACUGGAGCUCCUGACUCCAUAGACAGUGUCUCAUGAUCUACAAACCUCAUGUCUCAUGGGUCUUGGCCUCGAUGUGACAAAGAAGUCUGCACAGAUCUCUCGUAACACAGCAUCUGCCCUCCUCCAACUACGUUACCCACAUGUUUCCUGCAACACCUUGGUUCUCCAGGUUCUCUGUGCAGCGUGUGGCCCUGCGAUGGACUGGUGUCCUGUCCAGACUGUACCCUGCCUCUCUGCCUGAGUUAUCUGGGAUUGGCUCCAGCACCACUCACGACCCCUGCAGGGACCAAGCGGUUGCUCCCAAGUAUUAUGCAGUUAAAUAACCGACUUCAAUAAACAGAUAUGCAAC